UGGGGAACUUUGGACAAUGGGCGAAAGCCUGAUCCAGCAAUGCCGCGUGUGUGAAGAAGGCCUUCGGGUUGUAAAGCACUUUUGUCCGGAAAGAAAUCCUUGGCUCUAAUACAGUCGGGGGAUGACGGUACCGGAAGAAUAAGCACCGGCUAACUACGUGCCAGCAGCCGCGGUAAUACGUAGGGUGCAAGCGUUAAUCGGAAUUACUGGGCGUAAAGCGUGCGCAGGCGGUUUGCUAAGACCGAUGUGAAAUCCCCGGGCUCAACCUGGGAACUGCAUUGGUGACUGGCAGGCUAGAGUAUGGCAGAGGGGGGUAGAAUUCCACGUGUAGCAGUGAAAUGCGUAGAGAUGUGGAGGAAUACCGAUGGCGAAGGCAGCCCCCUGGGGCCAAAUACUGACGCUCAUGCACGAAAGCGUGGGGAGCAAACAGGAUUAGAUACCCUGGUAGUCCACGCCCUAAACGAUGUCAACUAGUUGUUGGGGAUUCAUUUCCUUAGUAACGUAGCUAACGCGUGAAGUUGACCGCCUGGGGGAGUACGGUCGCAAGAUUAAAACUCAAAUGAAUUGACGGGGU
rnacentral:rRNA from 1 species